GGAAUAUUGGACAAUGGGCGAAAGCCUGAUCCAGCAAUGCCGCGUGAGUGAUGAAGGCCUUAGGGUUGUAAAGCUCUUUUACCCGGGAUGAUAAUGACAGUACCGGGAGAAUAAGCUCCGGCUAACUCCGUGCCAGCAGCCGCGGUAAUACGGAGGGAGCUAGCGUUGUUCGGAAUUACUGGGCGUAAAGGGCGCGUAGGCGGGCGGGCAAGUCUCUCGUGAAAGCCCACGGCUCAACCGUGGAAUGGCGGGAGAAACUGCUCGUCUUGAGUCCGGGAGAGGAGAGUGGAAUUCCCAGUGUAGCGGUGAAAUGCGUAGAUAUUGGGAGGAACACCGGUGGCGAAGGCGGCUCUCUGGACCGGUACUGACGCUGAGGCGCGAAAGCUAGGGGAGCAAAC
rnacentral:rRNA from 1 species